rnacentral:rRNA from 1 species
UGCAGUCGAACGAUGAAGCCCAGCUUGCUGGGUGGAUUAGUGGCGAACGGGUGAGUAACACGUGAGUAACCUGCCCCUGACUUCGGGAUAAGCGCUGGAAACGGCGUCUAAUACCGGAUAUGAGCCGUCCUCGCAUGGGGGUGGUUGGAAAGUUUUUCGGUUGGGGAUGGGCUCGCGGCCUAUCAGCUUGUUGGUGGGGUGAUGGCCUACCAAGGCGACGACGGGUAGCCGGCCUGAGAGGGCGACCGGCCACACUGGGACUGAGACACGGCCCAGACUCCUACGGGAGGCAGCAGUGGGGAAUAUUGCACAAUGGGCGCAAGCCUGAUGCAGCGACGCCGCGUGAGGGAUGACGGCCUUCGGGUUGUAAACCUCUUUCAGCAGGGAAGAAGCGCAAGUGACGGUACCUGCAGAAGAAGCGCCGGCUAACUACGUGCCAGCAGCCGCGGUAAUACGUAGGGCGCAAGCGUUGUCCGGAAUUAUUGGGCGUAAAGAGCUCGUAGGCGGUCUGUCGCGUCUGGUGUGAAAACUCGAGGCUCAACCUCGAGCUUGCAUCGGGUACGGGCAGACUAGAGUGCGGUAGGGGAGACUGGAAUUCCUGGUGUAGCGGUGGAAUGCGCAGAUAUCAGGAGGAACACCGAUGGCGAAGGCAGGUCUCUGGGCCGCAACUGACGCUGAGGAGCGAAAGCAUGGGGAGCGAACAGGAUUAGAUACCCUGGUAGUCCAUGCCGUAAACGUUGGGCACUAGGUGUGGGGCUCAUUCCACGAGUUCCGUGCC